AGCGAACGCUGGCGGCAGGCUUAACACAUGCAAGUCGAGCGGGCACCUUCGGGUGUCAGCGGCAGACGGGUGAGUAACACGUGGGAACGUACCCUUGGUUCGGAACAACUCUGGGAAACUGGAGCUAAUACCGGAUACGCCCUUAUGGGGAAAGGUUUACCGCCGAAGGAUCGGCCCGCGUCUGAUUAGCUAGUUGGUGAGGUAACGGCUCACCAAGGCGACGAUCAGUAGCUGGUCGAGA
rnacentral:rRNA from 1 species